rnacentral:misc_RNA from 1 species
UUUCCGUAGGUGAACCUGCGGAAGGAUCAUUAUUGUAUAACCGAGGUGCGAGGGCUGUCGCUGACCCGAAAGUUCGUGCACGCCCGAGUGCCCUCACACACAUCCAUCUCACCCCUAUGUGCACCACCGCGUGGGUCCCCCUUUGGCUUGUUCGGAGGGGGGCUUACGUUUUCACACAAACUUUGUAUGCAGUGUAGAAUGUAUUUUUUGUUUUUGCGAUCACGCAAUCAAUACAACUUUCAACAACGGAGCGAUGGGCUCUCGCAUCGAGGAAGAACGCAGC